rnacentral:lncRNA from 1 species
AUGUGGAAGUUGUUGACAAUUUUGGUUGUGCUUGCUUUAGCUCUUGUAGCUCCUUCCGAGGAGGCUCGUUAUGGGCCUUGUGUCAUCGGGGCAAACUCUCCAUGCAACAGAAGACAAUGGGGCGACCAAGAUUCCUCUACCUUGAAUAAUCCUCCGGCAGCCAGCCCUAAUCGGCCAAUUCAUAUUGUUGAUUAUACGGAUAAAUAUUAUUUUGAUAUUCCAGAGCUAGAACCACCAUUCUAUUUUUGA